rnacentral:tRNA from 1 species
ACCCUGGUGGCAUAGUGGUUAAGCAUUUGGCUGCUAACCAAAAUGUCAGCAGUUCGAAUCUACCAGGUG